AUCGGCCAGACAUAUUUUGUACGUUUUUAUUGCGGAUAUUCAUAGUUAUUUUGAAACAUUCAUUUGAACAGUUAUUCAGAACGCUAUAAUCAUGCAAGCAAGAAGCGUAGCAGCUAUGGGUUAUAGCUUCAGAAGUUUAAGAACAUUCUAGCGAACGAUAUCAAGACUCCCGGUACUGAAUGAAGCAUGUAGUCAAAGCAAAAACAACCAACCAGAACAAGCUGUUACAAAGCGUCCCCAAAUAAAGAGUGACAUCAAGUGCAAGACGUUUUACAUGCUUAUACCACAUUUGUGCGUUGAGAACAAAACAGAAGGCGAGUAUUUUGUCAAAUGCACAAGUCCUAAACCUUCCAAUGAGAACAAUGAGAAGGACAUUAAUCAGUUAACAGUGGAAGAAGGAGCCAUUCAACUGUUUGAGGAUGGAUACGUACCACUGAAACGUAACGCGGAAGUAAAGUUUGAAUUUCCAUUCAGCGCAAUAUUUAACAAGAUUGACGUAUCGAUAUACGAAGUCAGUGAGUCUGGAAUUAAAGAAUACUGCAAACAACUUAUUGGUGCAAAUAAACGUGUGACUAUUAUGUAACAAGUGUUAUCCUGUCACAUGCAGUAUUUUCGACUCGAUAUAUGCCGUAUUUGUUUUUGAUAUACCGUCAGUUGACAUAUUGUGUAAAUAUGUUUAAAAUUCUAAUUAAACAAUUCUAAUAGUGUUAUGAAUAUACAUGUCGAUCUACCGAUUUCAAUAUUUUGCGACACUACAGCCUUACAUCGGCACAGAUUCUCAAUGCCUUUCGCUUUCGACAGAUUCCCUAUACUUUUCGCAUUCCCACAUAGGGUGUCUGUGUAGGGCCAUCUGUUUAGAGAAAAUUGACUGUAAAACUAUUGUUUUUUGUUUGUUUGUAUAUAUUUGUGCUGUAUGUAUGUGUUCUUAUUUGUGUUUAUAUAUAUUUCCUCAUUGUAUGUAAAUUGUAUUUAUAUUUCUCAUCUUAUGGUGGAAUAAAAGAUAUAUCUAUC